rnacentral:rRNA from 1 species
GACGAACGCUGGCGGCGUGCUUAACACAUGCAAGUCGAACGGAAAGGCCCUGCUUGCAGGGUGCUCGAGUGGCGAACGGGUGAGUAACACGUGGGUGAUCUGCCCCUUACUUUGGGAUAAGCCUGGGAAACUGGGUCUAAUACUGGAUAGGACCAUGCUGUAGGUGGUGUGGUGGAAAGAUUAGUUUCGGUAAGGGAUGAGCUCGCGGCCUAUCAGCUUGUUGGUGGGGUAAUGGCCUACCAAGGCGUCGACGGGUAGCCGGCCUGAGAGGGUGGACGGCCACAUUGGGACUGAGAUACGGCCCAGACGCCUACGGGAGGCAGCAGUGGGGAAUAUUGCACAAUGGGCGCAAGCCUGAUGCAGCGACGCCGCGUGGGGGAUGACGGCCUUCGGGUUGUAAACUCCUUUCAGCCAUGGCGAAGCCCUUGUGGUGACGGUAGUGGGAGAAGAAGCACCGGCUAACUACGUG